UCUGAGCUACUGACUGGAAGGACCUGGG
rnacentral:piRNA from 1 species